AUAAUUUACAAAUCUCAUUAACUUAUGUUUUAUUCACAGUAGAAUAUAAAUAACAUAUCAAAUGUUGAAAGUGAGAUAUUUUGAAAUGUCAUGCCAAAUAUUGGCUCAAUUUGGAUUUCAUGAGAGCUACACAUUCCAAAAAAAGUUGGGACAGGUAGCAAUAAGAGGCCAGAAAAUUUAAAUGUACAUAUAAGAAACAGUUGAAGGACCAAUUUGCAACUUAUUAGGUCAAUUGGCAACAUGAUUGGGUAAAAAAGAGCCUUUCAGAGUGACAGUGUCUCUCAGAGGUCAAGAUGGGCAGAGAAUCACCAAUUCACCAAUGCUGCAGCGAAAAAUAGUUUUCUGAGUUUCUCAGGGAAAAAUUGCAAAGAGAUUGAAGUUAUCAUCAUCUACAGUGCAUAAUAUCAUCCAAAGAUUUGAGAAUCUGGAACAAUCUCUUUGCGUAAGGGUCAAGGCUGGAAAACCCUACUUGAUGCCCAUGAUCUUCAGGCCCUUAGACGGCACUGCAUCACAUACAGGAAUGCUUCUGUAAUGGAAAUCAUAACAUUGGCUCAGGAAUACUUCCAGAACACAUUGUCAGUGAACACAAUCCACCGUGUCAUUCACCGUUGCCAGCUAAAACUCUAUAGGUCACACUGUAACAAAUUUCUGUAGUUUUCACAGCAUUAUUACUGUAAAAUGAGCAAAUGCUUACUGUAGAACUUGUAUACAGCAUGUUGCUGUAGAUCUGCAAAGCAUCAUGGUCCUUUUUCAACGGCAGGUAAAUUCUACAGUAAAAAUAUUUUUCCUGUGAAUCACAAUACAGCAAUUUCUAAAGGAUUUUUUUCUUCAGCCAAGGAAAGCUACGAGAUUCCACACUUUCAUCUGAAUUUUUACUUCAGAAAGGUAAAUUUGCUAAUUUAAUUCCAAAGUUUACUCUUGUAAAGUCUGUUUGUUCAACUUUAAGAGUGCACUGAGAGAGAAUGAGCAGCACACUUCACCGUCUUGUGUGUGCAUUUUGUAAUUUUAUUACCACAAAUAUAUAUUUCUGCAUGAUUUCGAUAUAUUUUCUAGUUUGGCAACAUUUUAUAACGUCAUUAGUUUAGAGAAGGAUAAUAAUUUAAUAAUAAUAGUAAUUGGCCGUGUCUCAAUGCUUGUUUCAGAAUAUUAACAAUUAUAAAGUUGACUGUUAUUCUUAGUUAAUAGUAAAUUGUUUAAUAUGCUUAUGACUUGCGAAUCUAAUGGUCAGUUAACUUAAAUAAACCAGGGUUGAUGACGUAUGCGAGUGCGACCUCCGCAGGCUGAAACCAGUCUCUCGAGCUGAAAGAAAACGCAGCUGAGGAGAUAUGAGGAAACUUCCACCUACAGUAAGCAGAUGCUGAGGCCCAGAUUUCCAUGAUAAGCACUCCAAGGCUCAUCAUGCUCGGAGAGUCCAAUCUGAGGGCAAAAAAUUGAUGCUUUCCAUCGAGUGCAGAGUUCUCCUCCAAUUGAGUGACGGUUGUGAUUUCACUUCUGCUCUAGCCUUUUUGCGUCAUACUAUGUAUGAGGCAGCCACUACAUUGGAAUUUAUCCAGAGGGUAGAGUCCAGCCCAGGAAGUCAACUAGUUCAUGUCCAGAUUUAAAAGAUUUCUGAAAAAAAGGUCUUGGAGAAAAACAAUAUUCAGGUUUGGAAUCCUGCUGUAAAUGUAAAUCAUUUAACUUUUAUGCAUUUGUAAUUUACCAGAAACUUUUUAAUAAAUAUUGAUUGUUUUGUGUGUUCAGAAAAAAAGUGUUUUUGUAUGUUCAGAAAAGUGUUGAAAUUAAAUGAAACAUUCACAGAAAAAUGUUAACAUAUUUAAAAAAAUGUAUAUGUUCAGAAAAGUUUUGAGAUGUUCACAGAAAAAAUGUAACACAAAAAAUGUAUGCUAUGCUAUUUUUAAUUUAUGAAUUUUUGUAAUUUAAAGUGAUAAAAUAAAUGGCAUUUUUGUGACAAA